rnacentral:rRNA from 1 species
UACGUAGGGGGCUAGCGUUAUCCGGAAUUACUGGGCGUAAAGGGUGCGUAGGCGGUCUUUCAAGCCAGAAGUGAAAGGCUACGGCUCAACCGUAGUAAGCUUUUGGAACUGUAAGACUUGAGUGCCGGAGGGGCAAGCGGAAUUCCUGGUGUAGCGGUGAAAUGCGUAGAUAUCAGGAGGAACACCUGCGGCGAAGGCGGCUUGCUGGACGGCAACUGACGUUGAGGCUCGAAAGCGUGGGGAGCAAACAGGAUUAGAUACCCCUGUAGUCCCUGAG